UUCCUCCUGCUGGAGGAGUCUGCGUUGCUUCCUGACCUCUUCAACCCAGGCUUUUUCAUCAUCUGAACUCUCCGAACUUUCGGCAUCACUUGGUUUUCCUUCCGGCUCUUCCUCCUCUUCCUGAGAAUAAAAAUAGCUUGGAAGCCAGAUGAAACGGCCUACUUAGAAUUGUUUGUCAAUCAGAGUAAACAGCCCUCAACACUGCUGGAAAAAGCUGACCUGUUUGUGAUGGACUCUGACUCUGCUGAACAGACUACUUUACUAUUUCUCCACUGUUGAGAGUAAACAAGAUUGCAGGCAGUUGAGUUCUGAAUAUUAUUUGUGUGACAGACCUAUACAAAAGUUUAGUAAAUCAUAAGGUGUCAAGGAA